rnacentral:rRNA from 1 species
AGGGAAUCUUCCGCAAUGGACGAAAGUCUGACGGAGCAACGCCGCGUGAGUGAUGAAGGUUUUCGGAUCGUAAAGCUCUGUUGCCAGGGAAGAACGUCGGGUAGAGUAACUGCUACCCGAGUGACGGUACCUGAGAAGAAAGCCCCGGCUAACUACGUGCCAGCAGCCGCGGUAAUACGUAGGGGGCGAGCGUUGUCCGGAAUUAUUGGGCGUAAAGCGCGCGCAGGCGGCUGUUUAAGUCUGGUGUUUAAUCCUGGGGCUCAACCCCGGGUCGCACUGGAAACUGGGCAGCUUGAGUGCAGAAGAGGAGAGUGGAAUUCCACGUGUAGCGGUGAAAUGCGUAGAGAUGUGGAGGAACACCAGUGGCGAAGGCGACUCUCUGGGCUGUAACUGACGCUGAGGCGCGAAAGCGUGGGGAGCAAAC